CCUACGGGCGGCAGCAGUGGGGAAUAUUGCACAAUGGGGGAAACCCUGAUGCAGCGACGCCGCGUGAGUGAAGAAGUAUUUCGGUAUGUAAAGCUCUAUCAGCAGGGAAGAAAUAAAGUCCUUCGGACUUUGGACGGUACCUGACUAAGAAGCCCCGGCUAACUACGUGCCAGCAGCCGCGGUAAUACGUAGGGGGCAAGCGUUAUCCGGAUUUACUGGGUGUAAAGGGAGCGUAGACGGCAGCGCAAGUCUGGAGUGAAAUCCCAUGGCUUAACCAUGGAACUGCUUUGGAAACUGUGCAGCUGGAGUGCAGGAGAGGUAAGCGGAAUUCCUAGUGUAGCGGUGAAAUGCGUAGAUAUUAGGAGGAACACCAGAGGCGAAGGCGGCUAACUGGACUGCAACUGACGCUGAGGCACGAAAGUGUGGGGAGCAAACAGGAUUAGAUACCCGGGUAGUC
rnacentral:rRNA from 1 species